rfam:Candidatus Burkholderia kirkii TZHbot1 genomic scaffold, BKIR_scaffold11
CGAAAAACCGGCGUGUCAAAUGCCGGCAACGACAACCUACAGCCAUGAGUCGCCGGGCAGGAGCGGCGCAGGCGACGCAUGUGCGUUUGAAAGCACCUGAGGCAGAGGUAAAAAGUUUCAAAACCUGCAAUUAAUGCCAAUGGAUUCUAGCAGGGUUUAAUAAUCCGUCAAUGCUAUAGACUUUUUUCAAUUACUUACAGUUA